AUGUUAUUUAACAUUGUUGCUUAUAUGUUGGCCAUCCGGAUUGAACAUACCAAGCAAAAUGGACAAAUUGCAGGAGUGAUGCCACACCUUGUCAAUGGGGGCCUCUCUAUUUUAGAAUAUGCCAGUGAUACGGUUCUUUUUAUAAAACAUGACCUAGAUAAGGCUAAGAAUCUAAAACUCUUGCUUUCAGCCUUCGAGCAAAUGUGUCGGCUUAAAAUCAACUUUCAUAAGAGUGAAUUGUUCUACUUCAGAGAAGCUAAGGAGGUGGUGCACAAUACGCUGAUUUGUUUGGCUGAUUUGCACAAUACACACAAGGCCAUUUCCCGAUUAAAUAUCUGGGGAUACCGAUUCAUUAUUGGCGCCUCACUAGGGUGGAGUGCAAACAUGUCGAAGAGUACUUAG
rnacentral:rRNA from 1 species